rnacentral:lncRNA from 1 species
UCUUCAGUCUCGAUGAUUACAAUUAACUUGGUUUAUAUUCAGAAGCGGGUGAGAUCCCUGUAAUACUCUCUUAUUUAUGAAAAGGGUUGAUAAGUUCAAUUGCAUUUCUCCGUAAUUGGCAUGGAAAUACAGAUGCCUGAAUUUGUUCAAUCAUCAGAAAAUCUGGUAGAGAUAUAGAGGCUACUGAUAAGUAUCCAACUUGUCUUCUAACUUCUUAACGAAAGGGUGACUCUGCAAUUGAUUUUGUCGUAAUAUGGUGAGUUGCAUAUUUACAAACGCACAACUAAAAAAGAAAAACAUGAAAGACGAUACACUGAGUUAUACUUACCAAAAGGUCCAA